UGCAAAGCAUGAGAUUUUCAUCAAUGCCGCUGAUGAUGAUAAAGAUACUGCUGUUAUGUGGCUUCGGAGCCAAAUGUCCCCAUGAGCCUGCAGCUAUGAGAUCGUUGCACUGGCAACAAGCACCCAAUGAAGAAAAGCGCAGUCGGUGUUAGCCCCUUAGAUCUGCCAGAAAGUGAUUAAUCUCAUAAACUGGCAUUUUACCACCACCCGUUUUGAGCCUCGUGCUGAUCUUAUUUCAUGUAAAAUAAAGCAAACUAGGUUGACCUUA